UAAGAUCAAAGUGCAACUAAGCUGUCAUAAGCUCAAGAUGUGCCUAAGACCCCCUUAAAGAUGAUCUUAGUACUUCUGAUUGAUUUAACUCCACGAAAGCUAAGGUACAAACUGGGAUUAGAUACCCCACUAUGCUUAGCCCUAAAUCUUGAUGCUCGCCUGUACUAAAGCAUCCGCCUGAGAACUACGAGCACAAACGCUUAAAACUCUAAGGACUUGGCGGUGCCCUAAACCCACCUAGAGGAGCCUGUUCUGUAAUCGAUAACCCACGUUACACCCGACCACCCCUUGCCAGAAACAGCCUACAUACCGCCGUCGCCAGCUCACCUCCCCUGAGAGUUCAAUAGUGAGCACAAUAGCUCAACCCGCUAACAAGACAGGUCGAGGUAUAGCCCACGGGGUGGAAGAAAUGGGCUACAUUUUCUAAUAGUAGAAAACCACACGGAAGGGGGUAUGAAACUGGCCCCCCGAAGGCGGAUUUAGUAGUAAAGCGGGAUAAUAUAUGCCUUCUUUAAAUCGGCCCUGGGGCACGUACAUACCGCCCGUCACCCUCC
rnacentral:rRNA from 1 species